rfam:Anoxybacillus amylolyticus strain DSM 15939 plasmid pDSM15939_1, complete sequence.
UGACAAAAGCAGAAGCACCCGCUUCUCACCUAGCUGACGCCAUUAGCAGCUGUUGGCAGGUUGUUACGGUUCGGUUAUAGAGCGUAAUGAGCGUGGGUGUCGUAUGCACCCACGUUUUUUAUUUGGA